AUGCCCCUAGAUGUACAGAAAUACUUAUUUGAAAUAACUUUAUAUAAGGCCCAAGCUGAUUCCUACCACAGCAAGCAAAGUAGGGAGAGACUUAAACUAAGAGGGUUUAAAUUAAGCGCUUGGAACAUCUCCUGUAGUCUUUUCCACAGAUCCUUGUGUAACGGCUGUUCACAUUAUACCAUUAUACACAAGGAGAAGACUGAGUUCCCAGAGGUGAAGGGGCUGCUGAUGGUCCAGGUCCUUCAGGUAGCAAGAUGCAUCCUUCAGCUUCUCUGCUUCGAAUGGCUGGCUCAGGAUAUCCUAAGAACUGAGAGAAAAAUAAAACAGAUCCCAGUGUCUCUGAAGACAGCAACAAAUGAAAACAACUCUAUAAUCUAAUGCCUCCGAAACAUACAUACAAGGAGAAAAGGUCAGUUUUCAUGAGAGAGGGAUAAACCACACCAACAAAAAAAUGUAGCUCUGAAUCUUAACGGUCUGCUUCUGUGAGUGUUUACCCUAAAAUAUGGAACAUAGAAUUCUAAAUAAUGUCUUUCAUGUAAAUAGAAUUUUUGCUACUGCACUCAUUCCUCCUUAUCGUCUAUCAUGGCAUCAAAUAUUUGCAAAAUUAAGGUCAUAGAAACCACCCAUUCGUAAACUAGCAACUGACAAAAGUAUGCUUUUUUCACUCAGGCUAAACUAGUUUUCAUGUCAACAGGAUGUUAUUCAAUUAAAAAAUUAUUAAUGGUCUGUUGCUUUUUUAACUGUUCUCUGAAAUUUAAUGGAGAUUAAUAUCUCUUUUGCAGUACUGCUUUGAGAAAACUACGGAAAUAAUAUUGUAUGUAGGCUGUAACAAAUGAGAACUAAUAAAAGAACAGUAUUACCAGAACA
rnacentral:lncRNA from 1 species